UUGACCUCAAAUCAGGUAGGACUACCCGCUGAACUUAAGCAUAUCAAUAAGCGGAGGAAAAGAAACUAACAAGGAUUCCCUUAGUAACGGCGAGUGAACAGGGAAAAGCUCAAAUUUUAAAUCUGGCGGCCUUACGGUCGUCCGAGUUGUAAUCUAGAGAAGUGUUUUCCGCGCUGGACCGUGUACAAGUCCUUUGGAACAAGGCGUCAUAGAGGGUGAGAAUCCCGUCUACGACACGGACUACCAGUGCUUUGUGAUACACUCUCAACGAGUCGAGUUGUUUGGGAAUGCAGCUCAAAAUGGGUGGUAAAUUCCAUCUAAAGCUAAAUACAGGCGAAAGACCGAUAGCGAACAAGUACCGUGAGGGAAAGAUGAAAAGCACUUUGGAAAGAGAGUUAAACAGUACGUGAAAUUGUUGAAAGGGAAACGCUUGAAGUCAGUCGCGUCUUCAGAAACUCAGCCUAGCUUUUUUGCUUGGUGUACUUUUCUGUAAGACGGGCCAGCGUCAGUUUUGGCUGUCAGAAAAAGGUGAGAGGAAGGUGGCACCUCCGGGUGUGUUAUAGCCUCUCAUCGUAUGUGACGACCGGGACUGAGGACCGCAGCACGCCUU
rnacentral:rRNA from 1 species